AUCAUAACCGUGUGAAAAAUACUUGCGAUCAUAAAAAUGUUGAUCGAAUGCCAUCCAGGUAUGGUACUAAUAUGAAAUCACAUAUUUCCCGCAUUGCAAAAGAAAUAAUUUUCCAAACUCUUCAAAUUGUUAAAUGGCUAGAUGGAAUGUCAUACACGCGACAUAUUUUGUUUGUACAUUAUCAAGAUAUAGCAUGGCUCAAACUGUUAUCACGAAAGUAGGUUUUGUUACUGGAUGGUUAACUUAUGAUAUAAUAUGAAGUGUAAAGUAUGUCCUCACAUGUCUGUAUGGUUUUUUUAAGAACUACUUUAUGAAUUUGCUCUCUAUCUCUUUCCCUCUCUCUCUCUCUUUUUCUCUUUCUCUCUCUCUCUCUCUCUCUCUCUCUCUCUCUCUCUCUCUCUCUCUCUCUCUCUCUCUCUCUCUCUCUCUCGUAAUUUUAUUUAUUCUAUUGUGUUAGUUCGCUAGAUGUUACCAUUCAUAUGAAGUGUAAGAUGUAAGGUAUGGAAUACGACACUCAAGAAAUGCACAGGCCAGUAUAAUAUCUUGUGAAAGUCAAACCAAGGCUGAAGGCCUGGAUUUUAUACCAUCGUUAUAACUAAGACAAUGCCAUAUAUCAAUUUCGAAUUAUAGAUUUAUUUUAGGCCAUGAAUAAAAGUUAUAUUCAAAAUUAACCUUCUUUAUGUUUAGAAUGCGAUGUAGGGUUCCAAGGUGACUACUGUCAGAUGACCUGUCGUUAUUCCAGCUACGGAAAUCAAUGUCAAAUGUGGUGUAACUGCGAGCAAUGGAACUGUAGUUUUGUUACUGGAUGUGAUGAUGGGUAACCAACGAUUUCAUAAAGCACUACAGAAACGUCUUUUACCGUAUAUUCAUUGACUAAAACUCUUAAAGGUACAUUACAUGAUCUUUUCCAAGUAACUGUUGAUCGUGUAAAACAUAUGAAAUACGUAACAUGAUUCCGCUUUCCAGCAUGCCGCUCUGGAUACACCGGGUCUGACUGUAAAUUAUCUUGUCGGUAUCCAGGUUACGGGGUCAGCUUUCAGUUACAAUGUGAAUGUGAGAAGAAUCUUUGUCAUCAUGUAAAGGAUGUGAAAGUAAGCAAUGUCAAGCAGUAAUUUUCUUGUUCAAAUUGACAUUCACAAUAUUGAUGAUAACGAUCUCUUUACGGGUUUGAUCAUAUGAGUAAUAUGGCUAAGAGUUCCAUUUCAAACAGCUAUCACAUAUUUGGUAUACAACUCAUGCAAAUCAAUCUAUCAUAAUUUGCACUUCCUAUAAAAUUUGUAGACUUUUGAAACACCAAUCUAUGAGGUUUAUUUUUGUCAGUGUUACUAUUUCAAAAAACAGUAUCUUAUCAGUUUCAAUUACCAAAUGUAAUCAACUAGUAACCACAGAUAAGACAAUAAAGUGUAGGUUUUGUACUAUAACAGUGCCGCAAAUCAAAAUCAAUAUAAAUUGAACAUAGAAUAUGAAAUUACCAACUGUCAUCUUGCAUUUUGUUUUAUUUCCUGGGUGAGUGUAUAAAUCAUGAGUGUAUUUUUUAUAUUCAUACCAACCAAGUAAAUAAAAAAGUUACAGACUGAUACAAAUUCCAAAUUGAAAUAUAUAAUGUUAAGAAGUAUGUCUAUGGAUUAGAAAUCAGUUUCAUUAACACUAUUGAAUUGAUAUUUCUGUAGCCUACAACCACUGC